rnacentral:rRNA from 1 species
AGAGUUUGAUCAUGGCUCAGAAUCAACGCUGGCGGCGUGCCUCAGACAUGCAAGUCGAACGCGAAAGUCCCCUUCGGGGGGCAAGUAGAGUGGCGCACGGGUGAGUAACACGUAGGUAAUCUACCUUUGGAUUGGGAAUAACCACGGGAAACUGUGGCUAAUACCGAAUAAUGCAGCGGCACCUAAUGGUGACAGUUGUUAAAGCGGGGGAUCGCAAGACCUCGCGUCUGAAGAGGAGCCUGCGGCAGAUUAGCUAGUUGGUAAGGUAACGGCUUACCAAGGCGAUGAUCUGUAGCCGGCCUGAGAGGGCGGUCGGCCACACUGACACUGACAUACGGGUCAGACUCCUACGGGAGGCAGCAGUCGGGAAUUUUGGGCAAUGGGCGAAAGCCUGACCCAGCAACGCCGCGUGAAGGAUGAAAUCCCUCGGGAUGUAAACUUCGCAAGAACGGGAAGAAUAAGUAAGAGUUAAUAUCUCUUACGAUGACGGUACUGUUUGUAAGCUCCGGCUAACUCCGUGCCAGCAGCCGCGGUAAUACGGGGGGAGCAAGCGUUGUUCGGAUUUACUGGGCGUAAAGGGCGGGUAGGCGGCCACCGCAAGUCGACUGUGAAAUCUCCGGGCUUAACCCGGAAAGGUCAGCCGAUACUGCGGGGCUAGAGUGCAGAAGGGGCAACUGGAAUUCUCGGUGUAGCGGUGAAAUGCGUAGAUAUCGAGAGGAACACCUGCGGCGAAGGCGGGUUGCUGGGCUGACACUGACGCUGAACUGCGAAAGCUAGGGGAGCGAACGGGAUUAGAUACCCCGGUAGUCCUAGCCUUAAACGAUGAAUGCUUGGUGUCUGGGGUUUUAUAGUCCCCGGGUGCCGUCGCUAACGCUUUAAGCAUUCCGCCUGGGGAGUACGGUCGCAAGACUGAAACUCAAAGGAUUUGACGGGGACCCGCACAAGCGGUGGAGCAUGGUGGUUA